GACGUAGGGCGCGAGCGUUGUCCGGAUUUAUUGGGCGUAAAGAGCUCGUAGGCGGCUUGUUGCGUCGACUGUGAAAACCCGCGGCUUAACUGCGGGCUUGCAGUUGAUACGGGCAGGCUAGAGUUCGGUAGGGGAGACUGGAAUUCCUGGUGUAGCGGUGAAAUGCACAGAUAUCAGGAGGAACACCGGUGGCGAAGGCGGGUCUCUGGGCCGAUACUGACGCUGAGGAGCGAAAGCGUGGGGAGCGAACAGG
rnacentral:rRNA from 1 species